rnacentral:rRNA from 1 species
UACGAAGGGGGCUAGCGUUGUUCGGAAUCACUGGGCGUAAAGCGCACGCAGGCGGAUCGUUAAGUCAGGGGUGAAAUGCCGAGGCUCAACCUCGGAACUGCCUUUGAUACUGGCGAUCUUAGAGUCCGGGAGAGGUGAGUGGAACUCCGAGUGUAGAGGUGAAAUUCGUAGAUAUUCGCAAGAACACCAGUGGCGAAGGCGGCUCACUGGCCCGAUACUAACGCUGAGGCACGAAAGCGUGGGGAGCAAACAGG